GGGGAUGUAGCUCAGUAGUAGAGUGCCUGCCUAGCAUGUAUGAGGCCCUGGGUUCAAUCCCCAGCAACAUACA
rnacentral:tRNA from 1 species